UACGGAGGAGGCAAGCGUUAUCCGGAAUUAUUGGGCGUAAAGCGUCCGCAGGUGGCACCUCAAGUCUGCUGUCAAAGACCGGGGCUUAACCCCAGAAAGGCAGUGGAAACUGAAGUGCUAGAGUGCAGUAGGGGUAGAGGGAAUUCCCGGUGUAGCGGUGAAAUGCGUAGAGAUCGGGAAGAACAUCGGUGGCGAAAGCGCUCUGCUGGACCGACACUGACACUGAGAGACGAAAGCUAGGGGAGCGAAUGGG
rnacentral:rRNA from 1 species